CUCCAGAUCAGAGAUCAAGUCAGGGCUAUCAUUCCAGCUACUCUAGUAGGGAGGCUGAAACAGGACGGACACAAGAAAGUCCAAGGUCCUAACCAGGCCAGGCUACAGGAUCAAAGGGAUGAUCUUGAAAGCCCAGACAUGGAUCAGAGAGCAAGAAAGCUGUGUGAUAAAUAGCUUUGACCUGGAAGUUCUAAUCCCCAUUGAGGCUUCGGUAACUGUCACGCCUACAAGGCGGGGCUGAGAGAGGAUGCUGAAGACCCGAGAUCCAGAUGCAUGGGCUCUCUUGGUUCCUGGACCCUGGACGCUGGAGCUAGACUGAGCAGAGUUCUCCAGAGACCACCAUCGGACUGCGCCACAUCUUUCCCAGACCCUGUUACCUAUCCCUUCACUUGUAAGUUACCCCACAAAAUAAACCUCCCUUUUAACUA